CCCGAGACUAGAGUCUCAUCCUGGCUGGUCUGUGCCCUGGGUGUGCUAGAGUUCUCGGAGAGCAAUCACUGUGCUUUAUUCACUGGCGGGCUCUCAUUGUGGCCCAGCCAGUCACCGGCUCAGUGACACGU